rnacentral:ribozyme from 12 species
GAAACACAGAAGAAGAUAUUCCAUGUAGUGAUAAGGCAAUGAGGACCACAAUAAUUGAAUUUUUGUAGCUCAUUUUUCGGUUCUUUUUCUUUUCCUCUAUCUUUUUCUCAGGUGUAUUAAUCAGAAUA